UGCAAGUCGAACGGUAACAUUUCUAGCUUGCUAGAAGAUGACGAGUGGUGGACGGGUGAGUAACGCGUAGGGAUCUGCCUUGGUGUGGGGGAUAGCCCGGAGAAAUUCGGAUUAAUACCGCAUACGUCCUAAGGGGGAAAGAGUGCCUCUUCUCGAAAGCACUCGCACUAAGAUGAACCUGCGUAAGAUUAGCUAGUUGGUGAGGUAAUGGCUCACCAAGGCGACGAUCUUUAGCUGGUCUGAGAGGAUGAUCAGCCACACUGGGACUGAGACACGGCCCAGACUCCUACGGGAGGCAGCAGUGGGGAAUAUUGCACAAUGGGCGCAAGCCUGAUGCAGCAAUACCGCGUGUGUGAAGAAGGCCUGAGGGUUGUAAAGCACUUUCAGUAGGGAGGAAAAGCUAGUCGUUAAUAGCGGCUAGCCGUGACGUUACCUACAGAAGAAGCACCGGCUAACUCCGUGCCAGCAGCCGCGGUAAUACGGAGGGUGCAAGCGUUAAUCGGAAUUACUGGGCGUAAAGCGUGCGUAGGCGGCUUAGUCAGUCGGAUGUGAAAGCCCAGGGCUCAACCUUGGAACUGCAUUCGAUACUGCUGAGCUAGAGUGUAAGAGAGGGUGGUGGAAUUUCCGGUGUAGCGGUGAAAUGCGUAGAGAUCGGAAGGAACAUCAGUGGCGAAGGCGGCCACCUGGCUUAACACUGACGCUGAGGCACGAAAGCGUGGGUAGCAAACAGGAUUAGAUACCCUGGUAGUCCACGCCGUAAACGAUGUCAACUAGCCGUUGGGAGACAUGAUCUCUUAGUGGCGCAGCUAACGCAAUAAGUUGACCGCCUGGGGAGUACGGUCGCAAGAUUAAAACUCAAAUGAAUUGACGGGGGCCCGCACAAGCGGUGGAGCAUGUGGUUUAAUUCGAUGCAACGCGAAGAACCUUACCAAUCCUUGACAUCCAGAGAAGUCAGUAGAAAUACAGAUGUGCCUUCGGGAACUCUGUGACAGGUGCUGCAUGGCUGUCGUCAGCUCGUGUUGUGAAAUGUUGGGUUAAGUCCCGUAACGAGCGCAACCCCUAUCCUUAUUUGCCAGCACAUUAUGGUGGGAACUCUAAGGAGACUGCCGGUGACAAACCGGAGGAAGGUGGGGACGACGUCAAGUCAUCAUGGCCCUUACGGAUUGGGCUACACACGUGCUACAAUGGGCAGUACAGAGGGUUGCGACCCCGCGAGGGUGAGCUAAUCUCAGAAAGCUGUUCGUAGUCCGGAUUGGAGUCUGCAACUCGACUCCAUGAAGUUGGAAUCGCUAGUAAUCGCAGAUCAGAAUGCUGCGGUGAAUACGUUCCCGGGCCUUGUACACACCGCCCGUCACACCAUGGAAGUGGGUUGCACCAGAAGUAGCUAGACUAACCUUCGGGAGGUCGGU
rnacentral:rRNA from 1 species